GAACGCUGGCGGCAUGCCUUACACAUGCAAGGUCGAACGGCAGCACGGGAGCAAUCCUGGUGGCGAGUGGCGAACGGGUGAGUAAUAUAUCGGAACGUGCCCAGUCGUGGGGGAUAACGUAGCGAAAGCUACGCUAAUACCGCAUACGAUCUAUGGAUGAAAGCGGGGAUCGCAAGACCUCGCGCGAUUGGAGCGGCCGAUAUCAGAUUAGGUAGUUGGUGAGGUAAAGGCUCACCAAGCCGACGAUCUGUAGCUGGUCUGAGAGGACGACCAGCCACACUGGGACUGAGACACGGCCCAGACUCCUACGGGAGGCAGCAGUGGGAAUUUUGGACAAUGGGCGCAAGCCUGAUCCAGCAAUGCCGCGUGCAGGAUGAAGGCCUUCGGGUUGUAAACUGCUUUGUACGGAACGAAACGGUGAGCUCUAAUACAGUUUGCUAAUGACGGUACCGUAAGAAUAAGCACCGGCUAACUACGUG
rnacentral:rRNA from 1 species